ACGGCUCAGUAACACGUGGCUAACUUACCCUCAAGACGGAUACACCCUCGGGAAACUGAGGUCAAUAUCCGAUAGGUGGGGAGGCCUGGAAAGGUCCCUCACCCAAAAGGAACUAGUGGCAUGCUUGCUAGUUUCGCUCGAGGAUAGGGCCGCGUCCGAUCAGGUCGCUGGUGAGGUAACGGCUCACCAAGCCUAUAACCGGUACGGGCCGUGAGAGCGGGAGCCCGGAGAUGGGCACUGAGAUAAGGGCCCAGGCCCUACGGGGCGCAGCAGGCGCGAAAACUUCGCAAUGCGCGAAAGCGUGACGAGGUCACCCCGAGUGCCGUCCGCUGAGGAUGGCUUUUGCCCGGUCUAACCAGCCAGGUGAAUAAGGGGAGGGCAAGUCUGGUGUCAGCCGCCGCGGUAAUACCAGCUCCUCGAGUGGUUGGGACGAUUAUUGGGUCUGAAGCGUCCGUAGCCGGUCGGAAAAGUUCCCCGUUAAAUCUGGCGAUCCAAUCGUUAGGCUGCGGGGAAUACUCUUCGACUUGGGGGCGAGGGAGGUCGGCGGUAGUCCCGGGGUAGGGGCGAAAUCCUAUAAUCCCGGGAGGACCACCAGUGGCGAAGGCGGCCGACUAAAACGCGCCCGACGGUGAGGGACGAAAGCUGGGGGAGCGAACGGGAUUAGAUACCCCGGUAGUCCCAGCUGUAAACGAUGCAGGCUAGGUGUUGGGACGGCUACGAGCUGUUCCAGUGCCGCAGGGAAGCCAUUAAGCCUGCCACCUGGGAAGUACGGUCGCAAGGCUGAAUUUCUAAAGAGGUUUCAGGAAAAUUUACUGGGCUUCUUAGAACAGUUUACUUAAAGGAAUUGGCGGGGGAGCAC
rnacentral:rRNA from 1 species